UAAAGUAGGCGUACGGGUGAGUAACACGUGGAUCAUCUACCUCUUAGUGGGGAAUAACUCUGGGAAACCGGAGCUAAUACCGCAUAAGCCUGGAAAGGGAAAGUCGCAAGACGCUGAGAGAGGAGUCCGCGGCCGAUUAGCUAGUUGGCAGGGUAAAAGCCUACCAAGGCAUUGAUCGGUAGCCGGCCUGAGAGGGCACACGGCCACACUGGCACUGAAACACGGGCCAG
rnacentral:rRNA from 1 species